AUACGGAGGAUGCGAGCGUUAUCCGGAUCUAUUGGGUUUAAAGGGAGCGUAGGUGGGAUAUUAAGUCAGCUGUGAAAGUUUGGGGCUCAACCUUAAAAUUGCAGUUGAUACUGGUUUCCUUGAGUACGGUACAGGUGGGCGGAAUUCGUGGUGUAGCGGUGAAAUGCUUAGAUAUCACGAAGAACUCCGAUCGCGAAGGCAGCUCACCGGGCCGGAACUGACACUGAUGCUCGAAAGUGCGGGUAUCAAACAGGAUUAGAUACCCUGGUAGUCCGCACAGUAAACGAUGAAUACUCGCUGUUUGCGAUACACGGUAAGCGGCCAAGCGAAAGCGUUAAGUAUUCCACCUGGGGAGUACGCCGGCAACGGUGAAACUCAAAGGAAUUGACGGGG
rnacentral:rRNA from 1 species